UUACAAUUGAUGGAAUUGAGUACUUUGUUUAUGGAAAAUAACAAAAGUCAGCGAGGUUAGAGAUGAGAGUGCAGCAGGUAUGGCGAGACAAAGUAUUGAAGAAGAAGAGCAAAUUGAAAGUGACGUGCACACUGUUCCACUUAAAGUUCUUGGAUCAUGUUAUUCAGGUGAAAGACAGAAAAUAUUAGAGGAGGCGUUCGAGUACCUAAAUGAGUAUAAUAGGCCAGUCUAUGUGCAGUUGGAAAAAGAACCAGACAGUUUA